rnacentral:rRNA from 1 species
CUGUGAGACAGGUGCUGCAUGGCUGUCGUCAGCUCGUGUUGUGAAAUGUUGGGUUAAGUCCCGCAACGAGCGCAACCCUUAUCCUUUGUUGCCAGCGGUCCGGCCGGGAACUCAAAGGAGACUGCCAGUGAUAAACUGGAGGAAGGUGGGGAUGACGUCAAGUCAUCAUGGCCCUUACGACCAGGGCUACACACGUGCUACAAUGGCGCAUACAAAGAGAAGCAAACUCGCGAGAGCAAGCGGACCUCAUAAAGUGCGUCGUAGUCCGGAUUGGAGUCUGCAACUCGACUCCAUGAAGUCGGAAUCGCUAGUAAUCGUGAAUCAGAAUGUCACGGUGAAUACGUUCCCG